GUUGGAUAUCUUGCUUUGUAUGUAUACAUUAAAUGCCUCUGUACUUCACAAGAUGCACAUGUUUGCAACUGUUUAAUUUUCUUUCCUUGGAGACAUAACCUUUAAAAACUGCAAUUGAGUAUUCCCCAUAAACCCUAGAAAUUUAUAGGAAGAUCAACAAGGUUAUACUUCCUUUAUCCCAUGUCUUUGCUGGUUUCCUCCUGGCCUUGCCUUAAAAGCUUAACUGAUAUGGAAUUUUGUGAGUGGAAGAUUUGAGGAAAGGCCAUUGAUUUGGCCUUCCUGCAUUUUUGUGAGCCUAUAGCUUAUGAAAAUUAUAAUGGGAUUUUUCUAGGGAUAUUUAAGGGGACAAAAGCAAAUGUGUUCAUUGAAUUGGAAGUGUCCACAUGUUACGUAGCAGAGUUUCCAUGACCCAAACGUGCAGAAUAAGAAUAAAGAGAAGG
rnacentral:misc_RNA from 1 species